GGACGGCGUUGAUCCAGGGGGCCGAAGCCAGGCACAGCACCUUGGAGCGGAUCCUUCCCGCUGCUCACGCCUUCCAGGAGUCAGUGGACUCUUUCCAGGACUGGCUGGGCUCCACGGAGAGGAAACUGGCCCAGCUCUGGCGAGCCAAUGGAAGCCUGGGCCACGCCCAGGAGGCCCACCAGCAAAUCCAGGAGCUGUGCGAGGAGAUUCGCUCCAAGCCGGGUGAACUGGAACGGGCCCUGGAACAUGGACAGCGACUUCUGGAGAUGGU